UACGUAGGGAGCAAGCGUUGUUCGGAUUUACUGGGCGUAAAGGGCGCGUAGGCGGCCUGUCAAGUCAAUUGUGAAAUCUCCGGGCUUAACUCGGAACGGUCAAUUGAUACUGUCAGGCUAGAGUGCAGAAGGGGCAAUCGGAAUUCUUGGUGUAGCGGUGAAAUGCGUAGAUAUCGAGAGGAACACCUGCGGCGAAGGCGGGUUGCUGGGCUGAUACUGACGCUGAGGCGCGAAAGCCAGGGGAGCGAACGGG
rnacentral:rRNA from 1 species